GAUGAAGAACGCAGCAAAAUGCGAUACUUGGUGUGAAUUGCAGAAUCCCGUGAACCAUCGAGUUUUUGAACGCAAGUUGCGCCCGAAGCCUUUUGGCCGAGGGCACGUCUGCCUGGGCGUCACGCAUCGCGUCGCCCCCCACAAUUCUCCGUAAAGGGAACAUGUGUUUUGGGGGCGGAUAUUGGUCUCCCGUGCUCAUGGCGUGGUUGGCCGAAAUAGGAGUCCUUUCGAUGGACGCACGAACUAGUGGUGGUCGUAAAAACCCUCGUCUUUUGUUUCGUGCUGUUGCUCGCAAGGUAAACUCUUUAAAAACCCCAAUGUGUCGUCUCUUGACGACGCUUCGACCGCGACCCCAGGUCAGGCGGGACUACCCGCUGAGUUUAAGCAUAUCAAUACGCGGAGGA
rnacentral:misc_RNA from 1 species